UAACACGUGAGCAACCUGCCUUUCAGAGGGGGAUAACGGCUGGAAACGGUCGCUAAUACCGCAUGACGUGUUCGGAUGGCAUCAUCUGAACAUCAAAGAUUUAUCGCUGAAAGAUGGGCUCGCGUCUGAUUAGAUAGUUGGUGGGGUAACGGCCUACCAAGUCUACGAUCAGUAGCCGGACUGAGAGGUUGAACGGCCACAUUGGGACUGAGAUACGGCCCAGACUCCUACGGGAGGCAGCAGUGGGGAAUAUUGCACAAUGGGGGAAACCCUGAUGCAGCAACGCCGCGUGAAGGAUGACGGUUUUCGGAUUGUAAACUUCUUUUCUUAGUGACGAAGACAGUGACGGUAGCUAAGGAAUAAGCAUCGGCUAACUACGUGCCAGCAGCCGCGGUAAUACGUAGGAUGCAAGCGUUAUCCGGAUUUACUGGGUGUAAAGGGAGCGCAGGCGGGACUGCAAGUUGGAUGUGAAAUACCGUGGCUUAACCACGGAACUGCAUCCAAAACUGUAGUUCUUGAGUGAAGUAGAGGCAAGCGGAAUUCCGAGUGUAGCGGUGAAAUGCGUAGAUAUUCGGAGGAACACCAGUGGCGAAGGCGGCUUGCUGGGCUUUAACUGACGCUGAGGCUCGAAAGUGUGGGGAGCAAACAGGAUUAGAUACCCUGGUAGUCCACACUGUAAACGAUGAUAGCUAGGUG
rnacentral:rRNA from 1 species